GGCUUCUGAAGAAACUAGCCAACUCGGCCUUUGCUCACUGGGUGUGAUAGGAACGAAAGAGAACUCUAAAACCACCUUGAGGGGUUUUCCACUUUCCUCCCUGUGGAAAUUCAUUGUGAAGAAGAAAUUGUCAGAUCUGCUUGCUACCUUGAGAACUGUUGCGAGAGGAGAAAGAUUGAAGACCUGCUUGCCUGGGCUCUGAGUGCCAUCUCAAGAGUCAUACUCUGAACUGGGUGAACUAAUUCAACAUGUUGCUCCAACUUUAUGAAGAAAUACAGAUGAUCUAUGCUUUACUUUCUCUCCCUUCCCUCAUACAACUUUUUCCUUUACGGACAAAUUCUAUGCCCCAUCGGAUCAAUGGAACAUGGCUUCUCCUUCAACAUUCAGCAUAUUGCUGAGUACCUGCUUGGCAAACAGCUGGUGAAUGAACAAAUCAAAGUAAUAAGCAGAGAAGAAAACUGCAGACCCAACCCAAAAUGUUAUCUUCUAGCUGAAUUUGGGUCUGCAUUUGGAAUUUAAGUUAACUAGUGGCAAAUAAACAGCACUGAUCUUCAGGAAAUCCUGCA
rnacentral:lncRNA from 1 species